AAUCAUCUAUGUUAUAAAUCACUUAUACUUUUAUCUAAUUGUUUUUUUCUGGUUUAAAAUAUAUUAUACAUAUACCUGAUUAACUUAUCUCAUAUUUUAUUUUUAUAUAAAUUAUGUACAGUUUUUGUUUCCAAAUCGAAUAUUUUAUUUUUAUAUAAAUUAUGUACAGUUUUUGUUUCCAAAUCGAAUACUCAUUUGGGUUUGAGAGAUGGCCUUAGAUUCAAGUCUCAUAUACGAUAAGAUCGAAUUAAAAGAAAAUUUAUGUUUAUAAAAUUAAAAUAAAAUAACAAUAUCAUACUUUUGUGUAAGUUAAUCAUAAUUGAAUCUUAGUGAUAAAAACACAAAAAAAGGAAUACAUACAUCUAAGAAUUAAACUAUAAUAAACAUAAAAAUUAAGGAUAUAAUUAAAAAUCCAUGAUGAGAAUUAAGAUGAUGAUUCAAACUUGUAGUGUUUAUCGACGGCAACUGAGACAUCCCAAGUGCAACUCAGACCCUUUGGCAAGAUGACAAGGUCCCCGGCCCCAAAUUCCGAUAUCAUCUCCGACGAGUUUUUCAGGCAUUUGUUUAAAGGUAGGGUGCUAUGACGCAAGCCCUUUAAAUGACCGUUUGACGAAUCCUCAAUCGACUGUUUAAAGAUAGGUGGGCUAUAUACGACGCAAGCCUUGAAGGCCGUCUAGCGCAACCUCAGAGUCGCCUUCUCUACAUGCACAAAGUACAGCUUCCAGGAGAGAGAGAGAGAGAGAGAGAGAGAGAGAUUAAUUACUUGGGCCAAGAUUUGAUACCGAGUUCAGAAAGAUGAGAUUCAGAAGGAUUCCUGUGAACAAUUAUGCUUAGAUUUGAUGAAGAUUCUCCUGCCAUUAAAGAAUUUCAAGAGUCUCUUUCUAACACACACAACACAGUUGUUUGAUCAAAUCUGAGUUUGCACACUACGUGUGUCUAUAAUGUAUAUAAGUGGAUGUUGGUAUAUAGAGAGAGACAGAGAGAGAAAGAGUGAGAUCGAUGUAUAAAACAUAUGCAUUGAAUGAGUUAAUGUCAUUUUUUUCGAGUGAUGUGGUUCAUGCACGUUUAUAAAGAAAUAAAAUAUAGUA
rnacentral:lncRNA from 1 species